CCUACCGUUAGGUCCACCGCUGGUUCAUGACGGUGUUUUUUUUUUUACUGUGGAGGUGCAUCAUUCCCCCUGCCUGCUGCGUAUGCACCGGGCAGGAGACAGUGUGGCAGUAUGCAAGUUGCACGCUGGAUAGGAGCGGGCCCGCGGCACCGCCAUCAUUCCGCACAUCUGCAUGCCCGUCGUGGGUUCUAACCGCGUAUGAACCGUCCGCCGUAGCAAGAGGUGACUAUCCGGCUACGUGGUACUCAAAUCCUGAAAAGGCCGGUAUGAUCGCGUAGGCCAUUACGCCAAUAAUAAGAAUAAUAAUAAUAAGAAGAAGAACUUAGCAUAGCAGUCCACACUCGGGGAAGGUUUUUGUUUUGACUUUGUUGCUGCCGGGUGUCCCGCGGUGGCGCGACAAAUCAACGGAAUGCAAUCGACCAAAACAUGAAUCUACCGAUCCGAACUCAUUCCAAGGCAUUGCCGGUCAAUCGGCGUCACGAUACCGACAAGUCAACAAGCCGCCCGAUUCUGGACGGACUGGUGCAGCACCAUACGCGCACCGUAAUAAACAAAUCCAGAAUCCUCUUUUGUAUGAAUUCAAUUCAAGUUUUGUUUCCACUUGCGUCCGCUAGCGGAAUGGGAAAGAAAUUUGCUACAUAUCACACGCACGUUUGGUUUGAUCGUGUGCCUUUUUAACACCCCCAACAGCAGAGCCGAUCGCAAAGAUGCCAAUGCCAAUGGUUGUGUUGUCUCUCAAGUAGCGAGAUCGAAAAUGCAUGGACUUUGUAGCCGCAGCGGAUGAAAAUGUACCCAUCAGAAUCAAAUAGUUCUGGGGUUUCCAAACGCACGCACACAUACAAACACGCGCGCAAACUCACACACACACACACACACACACACACAAACAAACGCGCGCGCGCGCACGCGAUAAGGUACCUACGAACGCGCGCACGCGAGAACGCACCUACGAAAGCGCGCACGCAAGCACGCACCCCCACCAAACCCCCCUCCCCAUCCGCUAACAUCAGCUAUCAUAUAGCGCAUCCUCAUCCCUAGCGCCGGACGGGGUGGGGGAUCGCGGCAUGAUAGAGUGAACGGUCACUUUCCCCGCGCUGUGUGCGUGCGUGUGUGUGUCGAGACCCAAAAACUCGAAACAGAUUUCGGCAAAUUAAAAAAAAAUAUAACCACUAUACACUGUGCUACAUGAUGCUUAGAAGGUCGUUGAAGCAUCAAACAUGUUCAAAUUAAAAAAUAUUAGAUUAGUGUUAGACGUUCUCCUACGCUUGUUUUAAAUAGGCUUCGUCACCCUCAACUGGCAGGGGCAUCGAAUGGUCUCAUCAGCAGCGGCACGAAAUAAAAUAAUUCAUCAAUACACCGAUAACACUUUAAAUCCCAAUCCAGCUUCUCCCGCAUCGUCCCAAGGUCACACACUAAUUAAUAAAUGCUAACACCCACCAAUAACAAUACACAACCGCAAUGCACAUAUAUGAAUCAACGCAUACACCACAAACACCCAAUCAGCUGGCGGCGGAAGGCACGGGCUGAAGCGCAAGUAGUGCAAGGCAGGGCGAGGGAGGGAGAAGAAGCGGACGAAAAAAUGGGCGCCAUUAUUUUUUUAAAUUUUUUGACCGUUUUUUUUUUGCUCCGCCGCCGCCCGAACUGUCCGAACUGUCCGAACUGCCCGAACUGCGCGACCCAGCGCAGAAAUCGCUGAAGAACAGCGCGGGAGACCAGGCCAAAUCUGCGCUGGCCAGCGCAGAUUUUGGUGCAUUUUCUGCGCUGGAAACUGCUCGAAUUUGCGCAGCGGGAUUAUUUUUUUAAAUUUUUUGACCGUUUUUUUUUUGCUCCGCCGCCGCCCGAACUGUCCGAACUGUCCGAACUGCCCGAACUGCGCGACCCAGCGCAGAAAUCGCUGAAGAACAGCGCGGGAGACCAGGCCAAAUCUGCGCUGGCCAGCGCAGAUUUUGGUGCAUUUUCUGCGCUGGAAACUGCUCGAAUUUGCGCAGCGGGGUAGGUACGAUUUAUACACCAACAGCCCGCUGCGCAAAUUCGAGCAGUUUCCAGCGCAGAAAAUGCACCAAAAUCUGCGCUGGCCAGCGCAGAUUUGGCCUGGUCUCCCGCGCUGUUCUUCAGCGAUUUCUGCGCUGGGUCGCGCAGUUCGGGCAGUUCGGACAGUUCGGACAGUUCGGGCGGCGGCGGAGCAAAAAAAAAACGGUCAAAAAAUUUAAAAAAAUAAUGGCGCCCAUUUUUUCGUCCGCUUCUUCUCCCUCCCUCGCCCUGCCUUGCACUACUUGCGCUUCAGCCCGUGCCUUCCGCCGCCAGCUGAUUGGGUGUUUGUGGUGUAUGCGUUGAUUCAUAUAUGUGCAUUGCGGUUGUGUAUUGUUAUUGGUGGGUGUUAGCAUUUAUUAAUUAGUGUGUGACCUUGGGACGAUGCGGGAGAAGCUGGAUUGGGAUUUAAAGUGUUAUCGGUGUAUUGAUGAAUUAUUUUAUUUCGUGCCGCUGCUGAUGAGACCAUUCGAUGCCCCUGCCAGUUGAGGGUGACGAAGCCUAUUUAAAACAAGCGUAGGAGAACGUCUAACACUAAUCUAAUAUUUUUUAAUUUGAACAUGUUUGAUGCUUCAACGACCUUCUAAGCAUCAUGUAGCACAGUGUAUAGUGGUUAUAUUUUUUUUUAAUUUGCCGAAAUCUGUUUCGAGUUUUUGGGUCUCGACACACACACGCACGCACACAGCGCGGGGAAAGUGACCGUUCACUCUAUCAUGCCGCGAUCCCCCACCCCGUCCGGCGCUAGGGAUGAGGAUGCGCUAUAUGAUAGCUGAUGUUAGCGGAUGGGGAGGGGGGUUUGGUGGGGGUGCGUGCUUGCGUGCGCGCUUUCGUAGGUGCGUUCUCGCGUGCGCGCGUUCGUAGGUACCUUAUCGCGUGCGCGCGCGCGCGUUUGUUUGUGUGUGUGUGUGUGUGUGUGAGUUUGCGCGCGUGUUUGUAUGUGUGCGUGCGUUUGGAAACCCCAGAACUAUUUGAUUCUGAUGGGUACAUUUUCAUCCGCUGCGGCUACAAAGUCCAUGCAUUUUCGAUCUCGCUACUUGAGAGACAACACAACCAUUGGCAUUGGCAUCUUUGCGAUCGGCUCUGCUGUUGGGGGUGUUAAAAAGGCACACGAUCAAACCAAACGUGCGUGUGAUAUGUAGCAAAUUUCUUUCCCAUUCCGCUAGCGGACGCAAGUGGAAACAAAACUUGAAUUGAAUUCAUACAAAAGAGGAUUCUGGAUUUGUUUAUUACGGUGCGCGUAUGGUGCUGCACCAGUCCGUCCAGAAUCGGGCGGCUUGUUGACUUGUCGGUAUCGUGACGCCGAUUGACCGGCAAUGCCUUGGAAUGAGUUCGGAUCGGUAGAUUCAUGUUUUGGUCGAUUGCAUUCCGUUGAUUUGUCGCGCCACCGCGGGACACCCGGCAGCAACAAAGUCAAAACAAAAACCUUCCCCGAGUGUGGACUGCUAUGCUAAGUUCUUCUUCUUAUUAUUAUUAUUCUUAUUAUUGGCGUAAUGGCCUACGCGAUCAUACCGGUCUUUUCAGGAUUUGAGUACCACGUAGCCGGAUAGUCACCUCUUGCUACGGCGGACGGUUCAUACGCGGUUAGAACCCACGACGGGCAUGCAGAUGUGCGGAAUGAUGGCGGUGCCGCGGGCCCGCUCCUAUCCAGCGUGCAACUUGCAUACUGCCACACUGUCUCCUGCCCGGUGCAUACGCAGCAGGCAGGGGGAAUGAUGCACCUCCACAGUAAAAAAAAAAACACCGUCAUGAACCAGCGGUGGACCUAACGGUAGGCGGACUAGGCGGUCGCCGAAGAUUUCUAGUCUGUAGUAUGCCGUAUGUCUACAAGUGGACAGAUUAUUAGCGACAAGGGCCCCCGGAAAGAUGGUCUUUAGGGCUCCGUGGCUGGAGAACCAUUUGCACCUCCCCUCCCCCCAUGGCGACUACAAUUUUAGGGCCUGUGACCGAUGAUCGUAGGGGUCCCAUGGUCACCCCCCCCCCCCAUCCGCUGGCAAAUUAAGUAUACUGUUCAAUCUUCCAACAGCUGUGUGUCAGUACCCCCACCUUAGGGGCCUCAAUUCGUCUUUCCGCCUUUCAUCAUAACAUUCCGGAAGAAAUUACAUUUGGCGACAGAUUUGCAUACACACGCACACUCACAAUCAUGCGCAGGAUGCUUAGCAUAUCUAUGUAAUCCACAACAGACGAAAGCAAAAGCUUAGUGUUAGAAACGUGUUAGAGCGAAUUAGGGUUCUGCUUGUUACACAGCAAACCCUCCAUCGUGCGCUAGCGAUUCCGUAGUCAUUUUUACAUUGCAUCGAUUAAACUCAUUGCGCUUUUUUGGUUUGAUUUGUGAAAAUGCAACUUCAUCGCCGCAAUGUUUGUUAACGGCAUUUUUAGGCGCCACAACAGCUCGCGAGCAUUGUCCACACGCGCGAAAGAGAUAGCGCUAUGGAGGGAAAAAGCACGGACGAUGGCUGACAGCGAUUGGCCGUCUGACGCACCAACACAUUCAAACCUUCGGCAGCGCGCUCAGGCGAGGGGUAUGAGGCGGAGCCAGGGACGGGCAGCUCGACGAGCUGCUCGACAAAUUUGCCGUUGGAGAGAAAAGGAGGGCAUGAUAAAAUUCUCAGAACUUCAUGAUUUCUUGCGUCGCUUUGCGCAGCGGGUUGUCGGUAUCGUGACGCCGAUUGACCGGCAAUGCCUUGGAAUGAGUUCGGAUCGGUAGAUUCAUGUUUUGGUCGAUUGCAUUCCGUUGAUUUGUCGCGCCACCGCGGGACACCCGGCAGCAACAAAGUCAAAACAAAAACCUUCCCCGAGUGUGGACUGCUAUGCUAAGUUCUUCUUCUUAUUAUUAUUAUUCUUAUUAUUGGCGUAAUGGCCUACGCGAUCAUACCGGCCUUUUCAGGAUUUGAGUACCACGUAGCCGGAUAGUCACCUCUUGCUACGGCGGACGGUUCAUACGCGGUUAGAACCCACGACGGGCAUGCAGAUGUGCGGAAUGAUGGCGGUGCCGCGGGCCCGCUCCUAUCCAGCGUGCAACUUGCAUACUGCCACACUGUCUUCUGCCCGGUGCAUACGCAGCAGGCAGGGGGAAUGAUGCACCUCCACAGUAAAAAAAAAAACACCGUCAUGAACCAGCGGUGGACCUAACGGUAGGCGGACUAGGCGGUCGCCGAAGAUUUCUAGUCUGUAGUAUGCCGUAUGUCUACAAGUGGACAGAUUAUUAGCGACAAGGGCCCCCGGAAAGAUGGUCUUUAGGGCUCCGUGGCUGGAGAACCAUUUGCACCUCCCCUCCCCCCAUGGCGACUACAAUUUUAGGGCCUGUGACCGAUGAUCGUAGGGGUCCCAUGGUCACCCCCCCCCCAUCCGCUGGCAAAUUAAGUAUACUGUUCAAUCUUCCAACAGCUGUGUGUCAGUACCCCCACCUUAGGGGCCUCAAUUCGUCUUUCCGCCUUUCAUCAUAACAUUCCGGAAGAAAUUACAUUUGGCGACAGAUUUGCAUACACACGCACACUCACAAUCAUGCGCAGGAUGCUUAGCAUAUCUAUGUAAUCCACAACAGACGAAAGCAAAAGCUUAGUGUUAGAAACGUGUUAGAGCGAAUUAGGGUUCUGCUUGUUACACAGCAAACCCUCCAUCGUGCGCUAGCGAUUCCGUAGUCAUUUUUACAUUGCAUCGAUUAAACUCAUUGCGCUUUUUUGGUUUGAUUUGUGAAAAUGCAACUUCAUCGCCGCAAUGUUUGUUAACGGCAUUUUUAGGCGCCACAACAGCUCGCGAGCAUUGUCCACACGCGCGAAAGAGAUAGCGCUAUGGAGGGAAAAAGCACGGACGAUGGCUGACAGCGAUUGGCCGUCUGACGCACCAACACAUUCAAACCUUCGGCAGCGCGCUCAGGCGAGGGGUAUGAGGCGGAGCCAGGGACGG